rnacentral:lncRNA from 1 species
UAAUCUCACGAAAAUUCAAGCAGAUAACGUGCAAAUAUUAACAAAUUAAGGAACGCAUGAAAAUUAAUUCGAUCUCACAAAUAUUCAGAAUUGCGUCGUCGCGUUGAUCCUUGACUAGAUGAAAAACUUAGCCACGCCGUAUAAGUAAACUCCACGUAAAUUAAUUGAUUCACAAGACAUCAGGCUUUUCACUAGAUAAUCAAGAAGUAAAAGAUGUUUCUUCAGUUAGGAAUAUUGUCGAACACCAGGAAUGCAUGAAAAGAAAAGACGCAACUGUCCUAUCUCUAAGCAAUGACUAAAUCUCCUAUCCCUACGUGGUCCUUGCCGAAAAUCAGAAGAAAAGACAAGGCCCUACUCAAUGUUUUUUUUUUACCAUUUCCUCUUGCUAAUAAGACUCCCUCAUACAAGUCAUGUCUUCAUCAGCAAAGGAAAAUGAAGUCUGUUGCUUCGUACUCUGUGGGCCAGGUUUGUGCAGCUUUUAGAAGUCUUCCACGUGUGGAGCAAUUUUUUCCAGAAGGUCUCCAUUUUUUUAGCACUUUUCAGUUCCACUUCCUGUAGAUUGGUCCAAAUACCAAAUAUAAGUAUAUGUUAACAAUUAGGCAAUAUUUGGCAAGAACAAAGAGGAAAAUUAACAAUAAAGUUACUAACAAUUAACACCCUAACAGAAAGAAAGCAACCAAUAGUUGCAGUCUCUUUAUAGUUUGAACCAGAGGAACUAGGCUGUGCAAGGCAGAGCCUUGGCCCUCCUAAAAAUAUUGAUCAUUGGAAAAGCAUAUAUAACAAAUCUAGUUGCAAAAUAGGUACAUAAUAUCAUAAUUACCAUUCAUAGAUAGCUGUCAAUAAUUUCAGUAGCAGUUACACACCUUUUAGUACAAUUAAGUCCCAAGUAGAGAUACAUAAUGCAUGCUAAUAGUUACAUAAUAUCAUAUAUUAGGAUUCAUUGACUUCUAGUCAUAGAGAGAAUGUUAAUGGAUUCUAAUAUGAUGGCAAAAGAUAGUAUGCUAGAAGUUUAGUAGUAUCCAUGAUGAACAAAAGAGAACAUGAAGCUGUGUGACUACUUCAUUUUGCAGAUUCACGGGGCUUCUUGAGAGGGCUCAUAUGAGCAGAUUUUGAAGAUGCAGGCUUGUUGUCUUCAGGACCAUUUUUUCCAGCAAUUGAGAGAAGGCUUUUACUCUUCAUAACAGAAAGAAAACCAUUAACUACAUCAUGUAUCUCACAAUCAUGUAAAAAUGAAACAGAUAGCAAUUAAUAUGCCUGAAGCUUAAAAUUUUUUAACAUGAGACAUACAACCUGUAAUAUAAUCAACAGCAGAUAAAUCCAAAUCCUUUAGACCAAAAAAAAAAGCAGCACAAAAUUUAGUUUCUUAGACAAACCUGAGAGCUGUAUAUGCCAACUUGUUGGAGCAAAAGAUGCACACCAAAUAGAAUAGCCAGCUUCAGUUGAAGAAACAGGUCAACAUUUUGUAAGCAUAGGCAAAAAAAAAAAGCAAAAUCAGUAUAAGAAAAGGAAGAAUAAAGAUUCACAAUGAAAAAGAAAAUUGAAGAAUUACAAUAGCAGUGCUAUUGUUUAGUUAUGAUCUAGAAGUAUAAAAAUAUGUUUUCAAGUAAAGUAAGUACAUUGUGAGAAGAAAAUCAACCAAAUUAAUCAAUAAUGGUCUUAUAACUCUCAUUAUUGAUCUGUUUACUAUUAUGUUAAGUUUUACUGCUAGUGAAAAUAUAGUCAAAUGAUCUGAGCCUAAAACAUUGUCUGGAUAAGCUGUUUACUAAUAUUGUUAUAUAAUGGUGAAAACCUGAAAAAAAAAAAAAAAAAAACCUUGAUCCUAUAAGGUUAUGAAGACAUGUCUAUCUGUGGUAGAAGUGAUAGUUUGCAGAUUUAGAGACUCUAAGGUCAGGGCAUUUAUGAACCAUUAACAAAUUCUUAAUGACAAUUUUAGUUUUUAUUGUUGAUAGGAAGUUAACGUGGCCAUGGUCUCCUAUAUCCCUGUAUAUGGCUGAAGUUGUAGCUAUUUCCUAAGUUGCUAUAAUACAUGGCUUCUACAUGGAUGUUUAGUUAAUUAAUAAGCAGACUGAUAAAUCUGUUUUUUAAGGAGAGGCCAAAGAAAAAGUGCAAUGGAAAAUAAUUAAGUAUACAGGUUCUUCAUGGAGCAUAAUCUUAAGUGACUGUAGUUUCUGCAGUAGUAUUUUUUAUUCAUGAUAUAUGUAGUUUUUGCACCAUAACCUACCAAAAUUUGAUUUACAAGAAAUUUCUUGAAAGGGAACGAAAAUUUGUCAACAAAUAUUGAAAAAGCAACAUCCUUUUUUUCAGAAAAAAAUAAAAGUAUCAAUUCCAAUAUCUUAAAUAAAGUUAAGAGGUUGGUAUCAAUGGCAAGAAGUGCACUUUAUCUAAACGAAACUGAUAAUCAAGAUAUCUAAGCUUCAAAAUUGGCCGAAAAUGAAAACUCAAAAAGCUAAUUGAACAGCUAACCCAAACACAACUGCAAAAGGAACAAAAAAGAAUACAUGCAAUGCAAAUUAAAUAGGAAAAAGAAAAGAAGAAUAAACCUGAUUAAGUGAAGUAUUAUAUCGAAUUACAGAUCGAAUUACAGGAGCAAAAAAAAUCGUUUGAAGUAUUACAAAUGAAAAGGACCCUUACCAAAGCUAGAGGCAGAAGAAGCUCCCUUCCAAACGCAAGGUCUUCAGAGAAAGAUAUACACCCUGUAUAUGGGCACUUCCCUUUCUUUUCCUUUUUAAAACCUAAAAACCUAAAUUACUACUCACUUAAUGUCUAUCACAUCAAAUCCCUGAAAAUAUGAUUUAGAAUUACGGUGUUCAUGGGAAAAUUGGAUGGCUGCAAAACCAAUUCCAGUACAAAUGAAAGAAAUCAAACGACUGGCCACUUUUGUGGGGAAAAAUCCCUGAAUUUUGGGGAAAAAGAAGACACCUAAUCUUUGAGGGAUUUCAAGCCUUCCAUGCUUCCAAGUACAAUAAGCAUGUGAAGGAGCCAUCUCAGCUACAGGAAGGGAAGAGUACUUGCUAGUACUUUCACCCGAAGAAGAAGAAAAGAAGAGAUGCUGGUUUCUUGUUUGUCUGAAGUGCUUGAAAUGAAAUGGGCCGGUUGUCUGAAGUGUUCGUCUGAAGUGGUUGAAAUGAAAUGGGUCCUAUUGGUUCUAUUACAAUGUAACGGGCAAUGGAAUAUCUUCUUGCUGGUUCCGUUGGUUUC